CUUGGUCUUGUUCUGACCAUUUUAGGCCUUGCUUGUGAAGAAAUAUGAAACAAUGCCAUAGUAUCACAAAUCUCAUAGAAAAGUGUGAUCCUAAAUAGAAAAUACUGGUGAAAAGGCUUUGACACUAUUAGUUUAAGAUAUACGUUUACUUAAGUUAGGUUGAGAAAAAGUAUUCAACUUUCAAUUUUCAACCACAAUGGUACAAGUUUCUAAUCUUGGACUUUGAUUAUGGCCUUGAACUAACAUUGGAUUUGGGGCAUGAUUCUAAAUAACUGCUGGCCUACUGUUACAUGACUUGUUGUUAUGGGUCGGUUAUUUGGGGAUCAUAGGAG
rnacentral:misc_RNA from 1 species